CAGGAAAUGACCAGAACUGCCAGCCUGCGCCUUUGCAGCCGGCUCUCGCUUUACUGAGGACGAGCAGCUCCCACCAAAGUCUUGCCUCCCCCUACCCCGAAAGCCCCGCUCAGUUCAAUAUUUCAAGUGAAAAUUUGCCUGUUCAAAAAGAAAAUAUUCACAAAUGAGCAGUGUGUUAGAAGACAACUGAAUUGCUUCUAGGAAUGGGUCUCACUGUGCCAUCACCCAGGCUGGAGUGUGGUGGCACCAUCAUGGUUCACUGCAGCCUUGAACUCCUGAGCUCAAGUGAUCCUCCCACCUCAACCUCCCGAGUAGUUGGAACUGCAGCUCUCACCAUGUGACGUGACUGCUCCCAUUUCUCCUUCUACCAUGAUUGGAAGAUUCCUGAGGCCCUCACCGAAGCCUAGCAGAUGCUGGUGCCAUGCUUGUACAGCCUUUAGAAACAUGAGCCAAUUAAAG